CGGUGGCCGCGGGGUGGCCGAGGCUCACCCCCGCGCAACGGAACUGUUGGUGCGCUCCGACGGCGCGGAAGCCUCCGCCGAGCGCCGCCUUCUGACAGGUACUGAUGGGCUCCUGUGAGGUGGGUGGUGCCUGGGGCCGUGGCCGCGGCUACAAGCUGGAGGAGGUCAGGGAGCGUUUGGCAACUGCUCUCCUUAUGGGUUCCUUCUAACUCGGAAUAUUCUGUGGUUCUAAGUGUGUGUGAACUUUUAAAAACAAAAAGCAGAUGAGGUUAUUUCUGUUGUUGAUACUACAUAAUGAAUCCAUCCUGAUUGGAAACCCAUUCCCAACUCCCCUUCCACAGGCAGGGCUACCACCCAGCAGCUCAGCUGCCCAGGCCCCCAUCCAGCCUGGCCAUGAGUGCCUCCAGGGAUGGGGCACCACAGCUUCUUUGGGCAGCUGUGCCAACGCCUCACAGCCCUCUGAGUGAAGAAUUUUCUCCUUAUAUCUAAUCUAAAUCGCCUCUAUUUUAGUUAAAAGCUAUUCCCCCUUGUUUUAUCACUGUCAGACCAUGUAAAAAGUUGGUCCCCCUCCAGCUUAUGAGCUCCCUCCCCUCAAGUACUGGCAGGCCACAAUGAGGUCUCCCCAGAGCAUUCAGUUCUUCAGACUGAUCAACUCCAACUACCUCAGCCUGUCUUCAUAGGAGAGGUGCUCCAGCCCUCCAGUCAUCUUCGUGGCUCUCCUCUGGGCACUUUUCAACAGCUGGUCCUGGAAAUGCUAUCCAGAAGCUACUGAAGAUUGCAUUAAAAAUAUUUUGGUUUUGAUAGGUACUGGAACAUGUCAAAGGCCAACUUUCUGCAAAUAUUUAUGGCUUGUCCAUGUUUGGAAGCUCCCCAAAGAGACAGUCCAAAAUAAUGAUUCCAGAGAUAAAGUGGGACCUCUACCUGGCAUGUGGAAACAACAGCUCAUUUCCCCCAUCCCACUUAAUCCUGUGCUUCAAACCAGCACACACACUACAUCUGGUAGAUUGACAUGGAACAAAGAAGUCCCAGUCGCAACCACAACUGAUUUGACAUAAAAAGCUAUUUUUAAAUAUUGAACAUCCCGGUGCCUUUUUAGCGGAGGUUCAGUUUCACUUCCCAUGUUUUCCUAUGGAGUAGAACCUUUGAUUCAGACCCUGGCUCAUUUUGCUCUACAAAGGAGAGAGAAACAACCCCAACUUCAAGGAACACGGUAGCUCAGGGUGUUUGUAUCUUAGAUCUGUUUGCUAAAAAUAGCACUGCCAUGGGGAUUCAAAUAACAUCAUUUACAAGGCAGAAGGUGCAUCAGAAGAGAUGUAAUAUAUCACCUUUAAUUACUUCUGUAAUUCCCAAGCCUGGCAAUUUGGGCACAAAAUUUUGCUUUUAAAGUCAGCCUACUAAUAUGUAGGAUUAACAGUUGACAGAAUUACAGAGAGGCUGAUAAGUCAUAAUCACAAUUCCAAAUUCUAGCCAUCUAGAUUUAGCUGAAAAUACUGCUGCUUUUGCAGAGGAGAAACAGAAGUGAGGUUAUGUGGGAAAGAAGUGAGAUUGUGUAUUGUGAUAAGGUGGGACGGGGAUGAAGGAAUGGAAAAAAGACAAUGAAAAAGUAAGAAAGGGUGUUUUAAAGAAAGCAGAACAAAAAGAAAAUCAUGGUGACAAAAAUAUGUCUGCUCUCAACUGUAAAAACAAACAAACCAAGCAUUACUGAAAAAACCAGGACUUGGAAGUGCAUAGGCCCUACUCUUCUGCUGCUGCUUUUCUGCUGCAGGUUUGAUUUUUCACUCCCUUCCACCCUACUAUGCCAGGUGUGGAAAAUGAUACACUUUAGCAUACUUGACAGAAAUCAUUAGAAGGUGAUUUUGGAAGCAAGUCCCCAUCAGGCAGCUGGGCCAGUAGCUGUGGAUUUGCUCCCUGCCAAAGUUGGGGCCAAGGCCACUGCCUCAGCACCUGCAGGUCUUGCACACACACGGGUACAUGGCUAGUGAUGCAAAAUCACAUCCUCACAUUGAAGAGUCUGUAGGUUUGGAGAUGGGACAAGAAAGGACAACAUAUGUCCUAUGUGUAUUUGGGUAAGAAACUGAUACAGCUCAUUAAAACGUAAAAGUGAGAUAGAGGAAGGGGUAAAGCUUGUUGUUAGUUGUUAGUUUAUUUGGGGGGGGGGGGGGGGGGGGGCUGUCUGGUUGGGGUUUGUUUUGUUUUUCCUUUGUUUUGUUUUGUUUUGUUUUGUUUUUUUACUUCAAGACAAAGAAGAACUACAAACCUCAGCCAGUCAGGAGCAACCACCAUCAACAAGCCUACUGCCCACUGUGGGAGAAGUAACAGUUCUAUUGAUGCAUCUCAGUGGGGAUGAAUUUCAGAAACAGCACUGCAGCCUCACUUUCUCUUUAGAGAGGUAUCAACACACAUAUACAAGAUCCUGGAUUUGUGCAAGUCACACAGGGACAAAAAUUAAGUUUGACACACUGUGUCUAGUACUGACAGACAGCAGAAGAAAUGAUUUCCUUGAGCUACGUGCUGUAGCUUUUACUAUAGUCGGUUUUGAUUGUGGUUUAAGAACAGAUACUGUAUUUCUAGCAUAUACGUUGUUGCUACUCCAGUCCACAGGGAAGCUGAAAAUUUUCAUGCUUUUUGUGUGAGCUUUGUUAAAAGAUUUGAGAUGCUGAACAAACAAAUUUUUGCUAUUCAGUUAAACUUUAAUAUCCUGAGUAAGACAGCAAUGUGCUUAAUACAGAGGAACUUGCAAAGGUUUCUUAACAGAAAUCUUUCUCUGAAAAGGGAAUAGCAUGUCACUAUUGUUUUAUUGAAUCAGAUUUUCUAGUUCUCCUUUUCUGCGUAUUUAAGUAAGUACUGUUGGAGGCAUGAGGAGAAGACGAAAAUGAUUCAAACAGUAGAUUCUCACUUAAUAAUCAACUAUUUCCUGGAUCACAAGGGGUAUUUUUCCUAGGUAUUUAGUUAUGUAAAUAAAGCUCUGUGUAGUGCAAAAUCCUACAGUAAAAAUAAAUGCCUCAGAACAAUACCAGCAGUUUUCUAUUGUUCACCAGAUAUUACUCCUGGGGAUAAAAUCAAUUUGAGAUUUCCUGUGUUUUGUAUGAUAAGAAUCUCCUGUCUGUCCACAAACAGAUUACUUUUCACAACAUUACGAAUCAAUUAAUCAGUAAAAUGGACCAAACCAUGCAGACAGAUUAAACAAACUUUUCCUCAUCAUUUAAAAAAAUAAAUAAAAAUCUAUAUUUAAAGCAAUGGUGAAAUUUUUGACUGCAAAAUGUAUCUUAAUACACUGCAAGCAAUUGAACAGCCAUAGAAAGAUCAUCUCAAGAUUACUAGUCCUAUUUAAUAGUCCUAACAGUCAGGCAGAUGCAAUUCAUCUAUCACACCUCAGGCCAACUGAGGAGAAAGAAAUACAAAUUAAAACAAUCAAACAAAAAACAAAACAACAAAAGACAGCCUCUUAUUGUAUGCAAAAAGAUGGGACAAAUAGUAUUUUUCAAGUCACCAUUUUGUUAUUUGAGUUCGCACCAUUCCUUGAAAGCACUCUGUUUAGACUCCUUGUGAGUGUAAAUCAUUACUUUUGAGGAAAAAAUAAUGAGAAAAGAGAAAGAGGAACAUGGAAGUUUUUCAGAUUAAGGGCACGAUCCUGUUUCUGUUGGACAAAGUUCUUCUAAGUUCCAUGUUGCCUGCAUUUUGUGUGUCUGGAGAGUUUAAGGAAAGCCUGAAACAGUCCAAAUAGCAUGUAAAACCUUUGAGCUAUACCCUGUUUAAUAAUUCUUUCAACCCUAGUUGUAGCUGAAUCAAAUCAACAAUAACAGUAACUACAGGGCAUUCCUAUUUAUCUUAGGAGCCACCAUGUGCAUAUCUACUUAAGGAGCAGAUUCACAAAGGAAUUCAAGCCAACUUAAGCCUCAUUACUGAUUUAAGAAAGCAAAACAAAACUGCUGUCUUCUUUUUACCUCCAUGAAUCUGGCUCUGCUUCUCAAGUGGAUGUACAGUGUAACAUUGGCUGGAGAAAAGAACUGAGGCAUCUGAGAAUUAACCCUGUUAUUAAAAAGCAUUCCAGCUUACUGCUUGAACAGAGUUGCACCAAUAGAAGAAAGCAGUGGCUCAGGGCAGGAGCUUGGACCAGGCUUUGCAAAGGAAACCUAGGCUGUGAGUGACCUCAGCCAUCUGCAGAAACACCAGGAAGCUGAUGAAACCUUACUUGGCAUGAAAUGGGCAUGCAGGGACAACACAGAGGAUAUAACUUUGUCACUGUUUUGGUUUGGAUGAGAAGCAUGCAUGCUUUGGGUUCAUGUGAAGGAAUGAUUUUAGAUGUAACUGAACUAUAAAGUGCUUGCUAUGGGUGCAGUCAUUGUGUUCACUCAGUCCACAAGCCAAAAAGCAUCAGCUGAUCCAGUCUACAAAAUUCACUCCCAGGCUGCACUAAUUGCAGAUAUAGACAUAACUAUGCCUUCCAUCCUGGGGUUAACUUCAGUCAUUUACUGCUGCCUGCACUGAAAGCACUGCUGCUGUUUGCUCAGCCAAAAAUCUGACGACAGAGGGGCAGAGUAUGUGUAACUCUGUUUAUUAAUAUUUAUCUUUUCCCCACAAAUCUUCCUGCUGAAUGAAGGAAAUAUUACUUAUAUUCUGCUAUACUAUUGGAGUUCUGGAGAUGCACUCUCAUCUGAAGCAUAAAGGAAUUAAUUCUGAUUUGGAUUAUUUUGUCUCUGGUAUUCGUAGGGAUGUAGUUCUCAGCUUUGGAAGAGAUGGAAGGCAGGGAGAAAGUCAAUAUCCUCUUUCAGCAGCUUCCAGAUAGCACAGUGCCUACAAGAGAGUCAUCUACACUGUUAGGAACUAGAACUGAACAGAUAAUUAUUGUUUUUCUGUUUGGGAAAGAAAGGAAACAGAGGAAGGAAAAGUAUGUUAGAUGGAGUCUGAUAGUGCUGGCUCCUAAACUGGAAAACCAUGACCACAGGAUAUAAUCUCUUUCUUCCAUUUCUUGUUUUUUUGUACUAGAUAUGACAAGGUGAAGUCUGAAAGAAAACCAAGUGAUUUGUUACGAAUCAUUUAUUCUUCAAGUUGAUCAAGAAAGCAGUGAUUGUUACUGAUCAGGCAAUACUAUGUAAAUAAAACAAUAGGAGGCAACAUAGGAAGCUAAAUUGGCAUGGAUUGCCAGUUUACAAAGAAACACCAAGGGAAAGAACAACAACAUGAAAAAAAAAACAAUGCACAAAGCUGUACCUGGGCAGUACUGCCAGGAAAAAGACAUUGGAUCCAAAUCUGCAAUUAGAUGAACAGGGCAUGGUAAUGGUUUCAGGGUAGAAAGAUUAAAAUUGAUAGGAAGUCCUUGUGGCUGAGGUGGGAGGCUUGGUGGUUCUAUAUGGAAGCCCCAGAUACAGCCUGCAUCAGACAAAAGGAACUGAGAAAAAGUACUAAGGAAGGUUUAUAAAUUUAUUUGGAUUUCAGUAGAUUAUUUUUCUAUAUGCUGACAACCAAAAAUAAAUUUCAGGUACUGCUUUUUUUCAUUGCUACUCCUUCAUGAAAGAAGCAUGGAAGUUAAGUAAUUUCAUGAGUUAACAAAAAGAUUUUAUCCUUUCUCUUAAGAUGCUAACAAUUAAAAUAUAUGUAGCAGGAUUUUCCCUAGGGUAACUCUACAGUUCUUCAAGGUACAAGGGCAUAUUAGAGAUUACACAGUUAUUAUAAAACCAGUGUAAUGGCAACACAUGCUGUCACCUGGCAGUAUGUGUCUAAUUGAUCUUACUCAAUUACUUAAUUUUAUGACUCGCUUUAGUAAAGGUUAAGACAUUGAUGUUUUAGAAGGCUGUGCUGAAUAAUACCAUUGUUGGAGAUUACUUUCUCAUGUAAUUGCUUCAUUAAAAGCAGGUAAAUAGAGGAAGAGUCAUCCUGUCAGGAAGCACACUGAAACGGAAUAUCCUAUGUCAAAGCAACAGCAUUACUGUCUUACAUACGUAUGUUUUCUAGUGUCUCCCUUUUUGGAGUGGGAAAUACUUGCCUCUUUUUGACUUGCAUAAAUGACAGUAAACUCAAGUGAGAAACUCCUCUACAAUUUUAGCAUUUUUAAGCAUGACAGGGAACAAGAAGGAAAGGCAGCUCAGUGGGCUCUUUGUAGGCCUGUCAACAAAUAUUUGUACUUCAACAAGUAUUUUCAACUGCAAAGCCACAGUUUAUGUGUAGGUGGGAAAGGGUGCUGUGGUUCAGAAGCAAUACUCACUGCAUGCAUGUUCAAGAUAUGCAAAGGAAAAUUUAUUCCAGAGCCUUUGCUAUGGAGCAGUGUCUCUGUAUCCAGUCCUCUUCUGUUAUCCCAGUUUCCCUAAUGCAAUUUUAGUCAGACAAUCUGUGGUCAUAGGCUGAGUGAAGUAUUUAGUCCUUCACUGAAGGGACUUGUGAAGCCACAUUUAGGGAUCAGGAGGGAAAAAUGUGUCAUGUUUUUUCAUACAGCCCUGUGUUGUUACGAUGUUUCCAGUUCUUCUCUGUCAAGGUGAUGCUCAUAUACCUUCACAGGAAACUGCAUGCUGUAAAUAUCGUGGCUUUGAUAACCAUUGUUGAUGUUAUCCUAGCAGGCAAAUAUCAGUACCUUCAAGCUGUUGCCUGCUAGAACCUUCUCAUCCUUUCUUUCUGUCUUUCCCUGGACCUGCCCAGCAGCCAGCUGGAAGACACCCUUCCAGCUCCCAACACUGGGUGUGUCUGGUCUCCCAGCAGAGGAUGCUGAAGGAGUGUCAAUGGGAGCAGAUACAGUUCACCUCACAGGAGAUGGGACCAUUUCUGGGGGAGAUACAGGAGGAGAUUCAAUAGAGCUGUCUCAGUAGAGCAGUGGAGGCUCUAGAAAGGGCGGCACUGCUUCACCACCAUGUUUUUUCUCUACUCUUUUUUGUAGGCCUUUUUCUGGGGAUGCAGAAUGCCCAUGCCCUGGAUUCUUUGGUGGAGUUUUACUGUACGCAUCCUUCCCAUAUACAGCAGGAGCAGACCUAUGCAAGCUCACUCUCCAAUAAACAACAUUUAAACCAAAUGGUUUAGUUCGAUCUCUUGACUCAUUUGUCUUUCACUUAGAGCAGUGAAUCUAAUGCAACAAAUAUCAUAAUUUCCCUCCCUUUGUUUUUUUGUUUGUUUGUUUGUUUGUUUGUUUUGUCUGCUAUCCCCAUUGGAACACAUCUGCUUUCAUUGGUAGUAGUGCUACCAUGGAAGCACAUGCUGCUUCUCCACUCUGCUCCUUCAUUGAGUUCGGCCACUUCUUACUCUUCUAGAACUAAAGUAUAUGAGCUUGCAUUUGGCUACUUCAGAAGGCAUGUUAGUUGAACGAGCCCAGUUUAUCCUGGAAACUGGAUCACACUCUGUAGUGUCCAUUGUCAUCACCAUUUAUUACUUCAUCUGCGCUUUUGGCUCUGCAAAAAGAGACAAAAAAAAAACCCCAAACAAACAAACAAACAAAAAAAACCCAAAACAUUAUUUGAUUUUUUAAAUAUGUUUCCAGAUUAUUCAUAAAAUUAUUACCGGCUCUUGGGUUUUUAAGGUUUUGAUGCUAUUUUGUAAGAUCUGUAAUAUAACAUAUCUUUUUUUCCCAUGUGCCUUAUUAAUGUUAUGCAAUACUAAAUCAUUUUAGUUUGAAGGCCACAAAGUAUCAAGUUAAAUACUGUUCCUAAGUGUAUUACCUCAGCACUGUUGCAAACAUCAAUAUAUUUUUAAGUUCAGCAGAGAACAACCUGAGUUCAGCUGACGAGGCCUUUUUGCAAAACUCUUAGAGUGUUAAUCUGCUUUCAUUGACUGAACUUCAUCUUUUACAUUUUAUAAAUUAUGAGGUCAACCACGUUGUUUGAGUUCAGCUUUGGAGGAUUUCCAUUGUACGCUCAGCAAGGCAGAAAACUCCUCAGCUAGAUCUUCUACAACUACUGACUGAAAGAUAUCUGUGCUCUCCUUUUACCAUAUUUGUUUCUAAUAAAUGUGUUUUAGUAUUUAACUUGUAGACUGGCAAACUGUACAAUAUUCUGAUCAGAUAUAAAUACUUCAUCUUCUCCUUAUCAAAUACCACUAAGCAGCUAACCACUGAACACAUUUUGCAUCAUUAGCUCUCUUAUGUCAGUCUAGUACCAAGCAUUUACUGACAUUCUAACUUAUUUUCACAGAACCACAGGAGUUGCUACCACCUCUCUGGGCAGCCUUUUCCAGAGCUUCGUCACUCCAACACAUCUUUCCCAUCAUAUUGAUCCGUGCAAUUGCUACACUCAGUAAAUACAAACACAUAGGUAAUGCCCACUAAUACAUAAUUACGUGCACAUAUGAAAGAGCUUGGCUGAGCCUGUGCUCUGUCUGCCCUUGUUUGAUGUAAUUAGUUGUGACCACUUUUCUUCAGGCAAUCACAAGCUUCCAGCCUUGCAGUCAUUCCACCUCUACCCACCACACUCGGGUCUGUAUGCGUGGUACCUAUUUUGUGCUGAAAAAUUGUUGCUGGUAACUUCUGGAAACUCUAAUGCAGCUUUACCACUGUCUUCAUGACGCUUCCAUUCUUCACAAAUCAGUGAUGAUAAUGCCAGUUUUAUUUUCACAUAGCAUUGACAGGCACUUAAGGGCUUAUUAGCUUUUCUUAUUUUUUUUUUUUUUAAAUUGCUUUUAGCAUUGAUGACUAAAUGCUUUCCAUACAUUAUUCAUUUUUACAUUGCAUCAAACUGUAAAGAAGUAUGUGAUAUACUAGAAAAACUACAGUUUUGGUCCCUGAUUGAUUUUCUUUCAUAGCUUUUGUGUUUCAUUAUCUUUCAGUGAUUAAUGAUAUUUUAUAGCAUUGUAUUAUUAAUGUAGUCAUACAAAUUAAAUUUGUGUAUAACUGACAUCUAAAUCUUAACCAAGUGGCACCAAAAGCAACAUAGCAAUAGACAAGAUAAGAGUUCAGCCUUGGUAUUACCAUUUUCCUCAUGUUGCAUUUGAUGCUACAGAUAAGUAGUAACUGACAAAGAAAAUUCAUUGACUUGAUUCCAACUGACAAGAUUUCACAUAUGCUGGAACAUAUCUUGUUGCAGUUUCUGUAAAAAUGGAUACUGUUGUUUAACUUUUCUUUUAAAUUAUUUUUUGCUUUACCUAAGAUAUUCUAAGGUGUUCCUACACUUGCUUUCAUUGUUCAUCAGCAGGUAGCAUAUGAGUAAACAGAAAGCACACAGGAAAUAUUGCUAUCCUUCUGUUGUUAUUACAAAUUUGAUUUGGCGUGUUAAUAACGUGACUGUCAAAGCUGUUUAUAUUUAAAUGUUCAGUGAAGAUAAUCAUCACUAUAGAGUUUGGGCUCAGAAAAGGGUGAUAUCUUCCUCCAGAAGCAAAUCUGUGAUGGAAAUUUCCAUGCAGAUCACUUGACAGGAGAUUACAAGUUUUUCUGCAGGCCAGAUACAGACUGAGAGAUACAGAACAUGCAGAUGCUUUCAUCUUGGAGUUGCCAAAUGUACUGCAGUUCCUUUUUGCUUUCUUACUCAAAACCCACUCAAAAGUGGGUCAUACCCAAUUUUGCUUCAGUAAAAGCAUUUAAGUAACAAAAUAUGCAUUGGAUUCUGGAAAAUACAUACCGAGUCAUGCACAGGUAUUACUCAUUCUUUGUGAUAUUACAUUCAAAUUUUCCCAGUAUUAAAGAAAAAUAUUUUUUCGUAAUAAGUAAUACGCUGCCCCAAAGAUAUUGAAACACACUCCAACUGUACCUAAUAGAGCUGGUGUAACCUCCAGUCAAAUGAGAAAAAUCUGCAUAGAUUCCAACUCAGCUAUGUGUAUCACAACAUUUCCAGUACUUGUAGAAAUAGUUGGCAGCGCUACUUCUGUCCUUCAGGUGUAAUCCAAGCUAAAACCUGCCUGCAGGCAAAUCACGUAUAACAAUUCAGAGUUUAUCCUCGGACAGAGAGCAUGUUGGGUCUUGGCUGUACUCUCUUUGUGCUUUGUGCAAUAAUUUGUACUCCUGUGAAAUAACUACAAAAAAACCACCACCUGUCUGACUGGGGAUUUGGUUGUCUUUUACAGAGCUCCACAGGGCUAUGUGAAGAAGGCUUCCAAAGGAGAGAUCACGUCUAGAACCCUCCUGUAGAUGGAUCACAGGCUGUUGGGCAUGUUGAAAAUGCUGUUGCGUUGGCAGACAAGCUUUGGCAAGCUGCUUCAUAGAGGCUGAAAGGAGGUUUUGCUUCCAGCUCCACUCCUCUGCUGGAAUUACUGUCUGCACAGUAAUGGGGGAAUGCAGACCUUUGACUUAGCAGCUCUGGUGCAAAGGGUAAAACAUUCACCUUUGCUAAAGGUUAAAACUGAAAUGCUUUUCUGGAAGCAUAGGUGAAUUUGCACUAAAACAUCAAACUGAGUAGAAGAAAGAGAAGCACUUGAUUCCUCCUGCUGCUCUGGUGGUUGGGAAGAUGGGAUGGAAAAGGUGAGCGGCCUUCCAUGAGGUGCAGCACAGAAGGGUGAGAAUGGCAGCAUUUGAAAUUGACUCAAUGUAACUACUGGUGCUGGUAUGAGUGACUGGCAAAUGACCAUAGUGAUUUAUGUGGAUUAUUAAGUGUCGAUAAAGAUAUUAUGUCGAUAAAGAUAUUAAUAUUAAGUGUUGAUAAAGAUACAUGAAAAUUGCACAGAAUGUGGAGCACAGGUUUGUAACUUCGAUCACCAAUUACCAAAUAAUUCCAGAGACUUACCUGUGAACUGACACUAUUAAGAUCUUCUUUAAGGUAUGUCUAAAUGGAGAAAUUCCACCAAUGUGGUGAUGGAAGAAUUAAAUUUGUGAUUCUUGCUAGACUUAUCAAGUUCCAAAUCUAAAAGUGCUCCAAAACAUUCUGGUGCCACUGCAAAAAUUAAGCUUGAGCCUAAGCCAAUGCAAAGGAAUCUUCCUGACUCUGUACAUUGGCUUGACUAUAGAAAGGGCAAAUGGCCCAAUUGUAAAAUUCCUGGCUACACCCAGAGUUGUUAAACUUCAGUAAAAAUAUAUAACAUUUUGUGGAAUUUUUAUAUUCCCACUGUUUGGUAAGGUCUAAAUAAAGCCUUUGAAGCUUCAUUUACUCAUUUUAAAUGCAGGUGUUCAAACUGGAACACAUACAUUCACCAAAACAAGGCACAGCACAAAUAGUAAAGAAGGCGAUGUGGUGGAAGACGGCAUACAUCAGUAGGAAAACAGUUAACCAAGAUUUAGUUCAUACAUAUUUAAUUGAACAUGUAUUUAAGCCAAGUAUUCUUUCCCAUAUCUUUGCAUACAUACUUCUAUGUCUCUUUCUGUAUAGCGAACUUUUCAGUCCUCUCGUUUCCCCAUGUUUUUAUACACUCAUGAUUUUUUUUUUGUACUGCUUAGACCUGACCUCUCUUAUUUUUUCCCUGACUGUAUUCACAUCUGGCUUUUAUCAUUUUGUUUGUCUGGCUAACUGCAAAGCAAUACCCUCCAAUCUUGCUAGUCUAUCAGCAGUGUGAAAAUACCACGAAAUGUAAACCACCAGCAAAUGUGUGAACUACCAGAAAGCUGCUAUUUGCAGAGUGGUGAAUUACAGAGAGCGUAAGAAAAGCAGCAAAAAUGUUUUGUUGUUAACACUGUCACUUCUUCCCCUUCCCCCCCCCCCCCUUUUUUCUUUUUUGCCAUGGAUUUUGUAAUGGGUAAGAUUUACUUAAAAAUAACAAUGAAUUGCAUGAACACCUUGAAAUUAACAGUAGUUAAAUAUUGACAUUAAUUUCAAUAUUUUAAAAAUCAGGUUUUGCAGAAUAUAUCUUUGUAUAUUGUUCCUGAUAUUUGGCAGACUGCUCUUGGCAAAUGCUCCUGUAGUGCCUCAGUCACAUCAACGCACAGAUUGCUGUGUUGCCAUAAAACUAAUUUCAUUUGCAAUUUCCACAUGGGGAGAGGAAAUUGCAAUUAAGUGACUGAGGCAUGAAUGUGUUUCGUUCUGCUGCAUCUGCGGUCAGGAUGAUUGUCUGUAUCGAAGUGAUGGUACAGACACGUGGGUCAGUGUCAUUUGAAAUUUCUUCACCAAGAUUCAGCAAGUCUGUUAAUCCAUGUUUAAAAAUAUGACUAUAAAAUAACAUUAAUAUAUUAUAUUUAAUACUUAUUAUCUCUCUUCUGCUGCUCAGAGGGCUAACUGGCAUUAGUCAGGGGAUGGUGAGCAAUUUCUCGUGCAUCACUUGUUAUACACAUUCAUAUAUAUAUAUAUAUAUAUGUCUUUGUCAUAACUAUUAUCCUUUUCCUUUUCUCUAUCUUAGUAAAUAGUUCUAUCUCAACCUGCGAGUUCUACUUCAUUUUUUUCAGUUCUCUCCCCAUCCCACUGGGAAGUGGGGGGAGUGAGCAAAAAACUGUGUGGUGCUGAGCUGCUGCUGGGUUAAAACAUAGCACUCAUGACUGUGCUUCACAAGAUCUGUCAUAAACAGGUUCUGGGUUAAAGGAAAUGGCAUAGCUUGUAGCAGCAGCAACGUAAAACCCAGAUCUUAUCCUCAGUGAAUCUGUAAAAUAUUUUGCUGCUGACUUCACUGAGGUCAGAAGUAGACUAUCAAUUUGGUAAACUUGUUUUUAACCAUCAGUCUAGAUUUUCAUCAUUAAAAACAGGGGAAGAUGUGAGCUUGGAGGGUCUACUCCAAACUAGAAAUGUAUCCCUACGACAUCCAAAACUUCAUUCCCAAAUAUUAACGGCCAAUGAAAAGAACAAAUAAAUUCACUACAAAAUAAUAAUUAUUUCAGUCCCUUUGAUUUCAUAAGCUGAAUGCUUUUAUUAGAUAGUAUAUUUGAGUAAUGCUUGAGGAAUUGUUCCAGUAGUAAAAGGAAACACAUAUUCUUCCCUAGUUACAGCUGCAAUGUUGAUAUAAGGCUUUUAACCAACGGUCAGGACAAUGUGUGAAAGUGUCAUGGUAUAAAACAUAACAAGCUGCUGCUUCUCAUUUCUUAGCUAUGUCUGAGUGAAAUGAAAGUUCAUUGGAGAACUUGUGAAUAAACUAUAGGGAAAUAUGAACCUGUAUAGGAGCUUAGAAAUGCUGCACAGAGAUUAUGACAUUGCAAAGUGCUUUUGAGUUUGUUAACGCUACACAGUAAAGCCAAACUGGUAGAAUAAUUAUCUGAUUUUUUUUUUAAUUAGAACUUGUUAGUGUUUCAUAGAUUUCAAUAUCAAUCUAGUACUAAUAUUUUGAAAUCAUAAUGCUCAAGUAGUACUUAAAGUGGAUGCUAUUUUUAGCAGUAAUUACAUUUUUCGAUAGAACUUAACUCCAUGUGACCUCUUUGUAGAGCCAAUAGUAUUUUGCUAAGUUAGCAGCUUUUUGCUAUUUUUCUUGGGGGAGAAGUAUGUUUGUUUAAAAAAAAAUCCUUAAAAAUAUUAUUUCCAGAAUGAAUAGGACAAUAAUAAUCUAAAUAUAGUUGGCUCACUUCUAAUAAUUUUUUCCUCAGAAACAGUUUCCAAGUACAACCACUGGAAAUAGGCAAAUACUAAGAGACUGAUGACAUUCCCUAAAGACUGACAGCUUUUCUUAUUUAUAUAUUUAUAUUACAUAUUUUUACAAAACAUAUGUACAUAUAUACAUGCACAUAUAUUUAUAUUUUUAUAUAUAUUCAUAUAUAUACAUAUGCUGAAAGUUCACUUUUUUUGUCCUUUUCAUCCUCUUUUAGGAGCCUACUAGAUCCAUGGAUCAGGCAUGUAACAACCUUACAGUGACUGAAGUUCUGAAGUUCAAAGGGCUUUAGUUUUGUUUGUUUUCUAAUAUUUUGUCUAAACAUUAGGAUCAAAUGUGACAUAAUUAUUAAAAUGCUUCUGAUUUACUGAAUUUAAAGUCUCUACUCUUCUUGCUUUUUCAAUUUUUAAUAAUGCAUUAUCCAGUUUGCUUGUUAAGAGGACAUAUCUACUGCUCAGUUAUUGCUCUUCUGAUGCACAGAAACUUUUACGUACGCACAUUUUACAACUUUGGUAACCUGAAAACCAGGUCUCCACCAUAAGUAAGACCAUACUCUGUACUGAAAACUAGGUUGGAAUUCUCUGCAAGAUUGUGUUAAUGCUUAGUGAGGGCUCCUCAGAAUUGGUAGUUUGGUCGUACAUGCUCUAAGUGUACCAUAGCAAUGAAUUAAUACCUUCAUCAAAUGUCUGUAUUUGUACUGUUCAGUAGUUUCUUCCACUCUCCCCUAAGGUCACGGUUGUGUUGUUAAUGCUUUUCUGGAUCAAUAUCCUGAUAUGCUGGCACAGCAUACAUUGGCAAGGCUGACCUUUUGCUAGCACAGCAUAUGUCACAUCUUGGUGCAUGUCAAACACUCAUAGUACGUUUUGGCUAUAUAAAAGAAGUUUAUCACAUCUGGCCAAAGCAGUCUAAACACUUUUUAAAACUACUUGUACUACUAAAGACCUAUCAGUUAUAUCCACUGCUACUAACAAUUCUGUAUCUCUUAUUACCUUAGAUAUUCCUGUCAUUUUUGCCAGUGCAGUGAAGAUGAGGAUGACUUAUUGGAUCGUUGUCUCACUUACUUCAGAUUAGAAAGGAUAUGGUAAUGUGCAUAAGUUCAGUAUUCACAGAUUAAACAAAUUCUAGUAAGUGUUAUUGAUAGGAGAUAACAAGUAUGAAAUUUAUUAAUUGCUUAAAUUGACUUUUACACUGCAAGAAAAACAUCUUUUCCCUCUCCCCUGCUGUCACUGACAAGUGUGGAUGCAUGUGAUGUUUAAAAUGUUUAAUUAUGGCCAAGACAAUGAGCAUUAUUAGGUUCAGUGACCUGUAUACCUGUGUAUCUCCUGCUGUAGGGAACCUGUUUUAGUAGGGAGGUUGGGACUCUGUGAUCUCUAAAGAUCCCCUCCAACCCCUGCAAUUCUGUCUGCUUUUAAGUCACGUAUGCACUAUUUCUCUAUACUGACCUAACUCAGAUUCAUGUGCAGCCUUUGCUGCAUAUUCUAAUUUGGGGUUUUGUGUUAUGUACAAGUGGAAGAGUGGCAUGGUUACGAUGGUACUUUACAGGUGUUAUAGUUGGAAAGAUUACUGUGGUGAAAAAGAGAUGAUCAAAGAAGAAAUGCUCACCUGUAUCUGAGGAUCUAGGUUCACAGUGGAAAAACUCCAAAAAAGAGGGAUCUCCAGAAAGAGAUCCUUCCCCAGUGGUAGUCAGCCUUAAAUGGGGUCUAGCCUGGCUCCACCCCCUUCAGUCACACAGGUGAAUUGCCUUCACCUGAGCUCCCAUGGCUGACCCAGUCCUUGUCUCGGGUGAUCAAUCAGUGGUUCAGGCCAUGACUCAAUAGUUCCCAUACCUGUUAUAAUUUGAGAACUGCUUAUACAUGCAGCCUCAUACAGGAGUGUUUCGUAGAUUUGUUGGGUUUCUUUUUUUUUGAGUGUAUGUGUAUGUUUUCCUAGUUGUUGUUUUGUUUGUUUUCUUUCAUACGUUAAGAUAACUUUACAUAGGUGGCUUAAUUCUGAAUGUCUAUAAAGGCUGAAAGGUCCUACUUUGAUCCUCUGUACAGUUAAGGCCCACUGAGUGUGUAGAAUCAGAUCUCAACAGGUAUAUGGGUUAUUUGUUAUUAAUUUAUUAUUAGGAUGAUAAACAAAUGGAUGAUAAACAAGGGAAUAAGCAAAUAGUUUGGAUGAUGAACAGAUUCUAUUCAAAAUAUUUGCAAUAAAAACAAAGCAGCAUUUGCAAGUCCAAUCUCUUGUUAGCGAGUCCAAGUGAAUAUAUUAACCUUAAAAUAUACAUAGGCCAACAAUACCUGGGAUGUGGGCAGACACAAAUUCAUAGCUGGGAUUAGCAUAAUCCCUAUAUUUAUGUUCAAUAUAUGUGUGUAUAUAUAUAUUAUAAAGUGGAAAAGCACUAAGAAAAUAGGGUUUGAUUGGAGAGCAGAGGUGAAUCAUCUUCGUAAUUUGAAUUUGUAACUCAUGCACAGAAUGGAAACAGAACUAUAUACAAUAGCACUUUAUUGACUCAUUAAUAUUUAUUUAUAUACACAGUAAUAUACCAUCCAUCAACAAAUUGGACUCUUUAAUAAAUAGCAUUAACGUUGCUUGUUUUUUGCAUAAUCAGUUAAUUAAUGCUUCUGCAUUUGACAUUCUCAUUUACUUUAUGUUGCAUAAUGAUUUAUCUUGUUCUGUGCUGCAGUGUUUACUCCUAAGGAGUAGAAAGUUAAACAGUAAACUUUGUUAAACAGUAUUUUGUUGCCCAGUAGCUCGAGUAAUCAAAGUAAAAUCUAUUAACACAUUAAUUAGUAUCUUAAUAUUCAAUAAAAUACCCUUUUCUUUUCUUUUGGAGGCAUAAACAUCAUUGCAGAAGUUAUUAUUGUAAAAGUUCCAGACAGGUAAUUCUCAAAGUAUGUGCACGUGAAUCCUGUAAGCAGGACAUAAGGAGUACUGAAUAACAGCAGAAGUAUGUGGUCUGUAGGCAAAUAUGGACAAUAAAAUGGGGUGUUGACAACCUGAUUAGACUUUUUUUUUCCUUAAGCAUUGUUCUAGUUUUAAAGCAACUUUUAAAUUAAAUUGAAAUUUAAUUUAAAUCUCCCAUAUUUUUUUCUGUAAGGAUAAAAGCAAAUAUUGUCAGUUUCUUUACAAAAAACAAAGGUCAUGAACUCUGAUAAACCAGUAUACAAAUAAAUAAAUGGUUUUUAUAGCAUCCUCUCCCAUUAGAUUGCAGCUCCAUUCCAGGAGCAUGCUGGCCUUUUGAAUAUCCAUAAUGAAAAUGUAGUGCCAAAGGCAGGUGACAAAGCACUAACAAAUUGGAACAAAAGAAAAAAAGGAAAAGCAGUAUCAGGCAUGCUACCUGCUGGCAAGAGCAGUAUUAUUGACCCCGUAAGAAAGCAUGAGUUUCCAUUUACAGUGUAUGCAAGAUGGGGCUCAGAGUUAGUGAGGUUUGUAAGUGAAAUACAUCUUAAAAAAAAAAAAAAAAAGCAAAAAGUGAAAUAAUAUUCACUUGCUAUUUUUUUCUAUUUAUUUGUGGGAACAUUUGAGUAAUUAAACAAAUUUUUGUCCUAGAAGCAAAGCAACCAAAUAAACUGAUCCAAAUUAUUGGACUUCUGGUUUCCUGCACACCUAAAAAUAAAUAAAGAAAUAAACACUGAGAACUUUUUGUAUAUAGGAAUUAAGUUAGCACUGAUGGAGAGUUCUUUUUAGUUCUGUCAGUGCCUGCAAGUAUUCUCUGUAGGUAGUACAGAUACACCUGGCAAAAGCAAAGAAUGUCCAUCCCCUCCCACAUGGCACCUCCUGAUCACUGUGUAGCUAUACAGUUUUCUCUUUCCUCUUAUGCCUAUGUGUCUCCAAUGGCUCCAGCAGAACUCCAGGUAGCUGCCCAUUGCACACCGAAGAGGAGAUGCACUCUUCUUGCAUCAGCAGCAGUCAGGAAAGCCAUCAAAAUAAUAGUUGUACAAAGCAGCUGUUGUACAAAAAGUAGUUAUAGGAAGUUGUACAACAGCUGUGCAAAAAUGAUCUAAAAUAUACUUUUUCAGCGACAGUUGCCCAUAGAAAAAUUUGAUGAGCAAUUCUACAAGUUUUCACCUUUGAGAUUUCAUUUCACAAACACUUUUCAUCAUGAGGAAUAAAAAGUUGGCAGGGCCAUUGAUUUCAUCUAAAAUGUUUGAUUUAAAAUGCUUUCCGUCAAAUAAAUGUGUUUCAUGAUGUUCAACUGCCUGGUUUCUUUUUACAUGUUGUCGAUGUCAAUGCCAAAAACUACCUAAGAUUUACCAUGUUGGUGCCGUGCUAUAUAUUGCUCCAUGGCAUAACAGUUGUCAACUCCAAGGUCACAGCUUUAUUAAAGGAUCAAGAUUUACAAUAAUGUUAGCUCCAGCAUGAAUGCCUUCACACACAUCUUCCCAUACUUUACUUCUCUGAGGUCACCAGCCCAAUCUCUCCCCCUGCCAAAGCUACUAAUCCAUAAAUACUGCAGUCUCCUGAACUAAGUUCAAAUGGACCUAUCAUCUUCUUUGAGUAAUAAAUCUUUACUUUUGUUUAACACCUGCCUUCAGAGAAUGCAACCCUCUUUACCUGCAGUAAUUAAUUUACCUUCACCACGUCCUUAUGUGGUGCUUAAAAACUGCUCCCCUUUUACAGACUAAGGAACCGAGGCAUGAUGACAUGCUUGACUGCAGUGCCACAGGAAGACUGAAAAGACUUGGAAGCCUGUGUCUGCAUUUAAGUCUUGAAUGCUGAAGCUGAAAGCUGUGCUAUAUCCCUCCCAGUCCUGUAGUGUCUAAACUGAGGCCUCUGUAGCUCUUCUUGUAAUGUAGUUUCAUGGCAUUGAUAAGGCAAACCUGAAGUUGGCUAUAUGGGAGUGUAUAGUCCUAAUCGAUGCACACAGAUAUAAAGAAGUAUUCUGCAGACUCUUUAUCACUCAAGGUGUGGUUGGGUAUCUUCUGGUUGUGCUUGCACUGUUGAAGGGAUUACUGCUACCAACUUACAUACCCCAACAGGGGGUACUGCUACCCCUCAUGCCUUCUCAGAUCUACAGGCCUGGCUUCCUACUUCAUUUCAGACAAGGCCAGUUAAUUACUUCAAGCAGCAGUUCUUUGCCAGAUGAUGAACAGCUCAGCUAACUCAUAGCAACCUCCAACAGAGCAGUAAUGAGUACAGGAGAGCAGUUAGCUCAGGUGCCAGCAGAGCCCCAGGUACAAAAAUACACCUUACCUCAGUGACUCAGCUUCCCAGCUCUGUCCUCUCCCGUGAGUCCUAUGCACAAGAAGUUUUGCAGUUGGCACUGGACUUUCUCCUGAGCUGAAGCGUGCAGUAAAUAUCCCAGCCCAGAUGACUUUACUCUUAAAUUGCUUAUAUGAAUGGGUGAACUUCACGACUACUAGAACACAAAGGCCUUCAAAUCUUGCCUUGGUAUGAUCUAAAAAUGAAGUAUUUGGGACAGUCUUUAGCUUUAUUUGGGUCUUAGCUUUUGCUUGGAAGGACAGCAGCAUUUUUAGCCAGUCAUAACUGAGAUCCUGAAUAAGAAAGCAGAGCCACCAUCCUUCACAGUAUCACAGAAGAGUUCAUCUUCCAUCCUCAUCUAAAGUGAGACCUGAGCUUUAGCUUCAUUUCGUCUUCUCUCUUUUCCCUCCAAAGCGUGGGACCAGAUAGUGGGGGCAUUGCCUUGCUGCUGAUCCCUGGCAGAUACAAGCAGCAGCCCUGAGGGAUGGCUAAAGCCUAAAUAGUUUUGAAAUCCUGGAUGCUGAAGGCCUAAUUGAACCACAAGGCUUAAUGUUUUGUAUUUUCUCUUCCCUGAAAAUAUAAUUUCAGGCUACAGAGAGAGUUUCCUACCUAGCGAUCUCCUCUAGACAUCUGCUUGUGGUAUAGACAGUUGCAGUCCCAAGGAGAAAAGAAACAUGGAAGCGAAGGAACGAUUUAUCUUCAGCCCAUGGCGCAUAUUUUUAAUACAGGAUGAGAGACCAGGACCGACCUGAAUCUUAGUUUUAUUAUGAACCAAUAUAAUUUCCACAAAUGAAUAUAUUUUGAAACAAACACAGUCUCUAUGAAUUGGUUUCUUUUAAAAGUAUUGCCAGCAUUUUGUUUGUUGUUCAUCUGCCAAGAGUUACAUUUGAGGUGGUCAGUGCUAGAUGGGCUAAACAAGCCCAAAUUCUUCUCUACCUGGAGAGAUUUGUUGGCAUAACUACAUCACUGUAGUGGUCUCCUUACAAUUCCUUAUUCUGGAAGAAAAGUGCACAGCCAUGCUGCUGGAUUACUGUUAAACUUUUUUGUCAGUAUGAUUCAGUAGGCAGAAAUUUUUAACAAAAUAUUACUAAUAGCACUAAAACUACACACAUAAAUGCUGCUGACCACAGUGAGAGGUCAGAUGCAUUCCUGAGCUGCCUGUGCAAGGCGUCCCAUAAGCCAUCCUCUGAACCCCCCUCUGCAGCUGAUAUUGCUGGCACAGCCACCUCCGUACUAUGCAGUAUGUUCACCAGUGAUGUCCUACAGCAGAAUGACAUGCACACACAUAUGUUUUGUUUUGUGUAGGUUUACACUUCCAUUAGGCAGAGGUGCCACAGAGAGUCAGCCUUCUCAGUAUGCUAUGCUGCAGCAGCUGCCUAAUGUACACCACAGAAUAAUCUGAGCUGGAAAGGACCCUAAAGGUCACCUGGUCCAACUCCCCUGCAAUGGACAGGUACACCUACAGCUACAGCAGGUUGUUCAGUGCUCUGUCCAGCCUGACUUUGAAUGUCUCCAGGGACGGGGCAUCCACCCGUCUGGGCAACCUGUACCAGCGUUUCACUGUUCUAACUGUAAAACACCUUUUCCUUAUAGCCAGUCUAAAUCUCCUGUUUUAGUUUGAACCCAUUUCCCCUUGUCUUAUCACAACAGACCUUGCUAACAAGUCUGUUUCCUUCCUUCUUAUAGUCCCCCUUUAGAAGGCUGCUAUGAGGUCUCCCUGGAGUCUCCAGUUCUCCAGGUUGAACAGCCCCAGUUCCCUCAGCCUGCCCUCAUAGGAGAGGUGUUCCACCCCCUGGAUCAUGUGUGCGGCCCUCCUCCUCCAGCAGGUUUAUAUUUCUCCUGUACUGUACACCCAACUUAAGUUUCCCAGAAUGAAGUCCUAAAUUUAUUAGUUCUAGAAAGGGUAGCAGAAAAUGUUCAUUUAGUUAAUAAUCAAAACUCCUGAACAUUAUAACAGCUUAUAUAACAUGCCUUUAAUGCUUUGUGAAUACCUCCAUGUUUGAACCACUACUUUAUCAUCAAGAAGAGUGCAGAAAUGCCUUCACCAUUUAUGCAGAAGGUGCCUGCAAACACUUUCCUCUGAUUUCAUACUGUCAGCAAGCGUCAGUCUGUCCCUCUGCUACUACUACCUGAAAGAAAGGUGCCAAUGGCUCAGCUGGGUUGGCCAUAGAUUUGUUACCUCUCUGAGUGUCUGUACUAGACCCACUUGCUAACCUGUAGCACUUCCCCUAGCCACUUUGGGGACCAGCAUUUCGUAGCUGUUUCCACAUCCGCAUUUGCAGCAUACUCAACAUGGGCACGAUAGGGGGACAGGGACAUACAGUAGGGCAGGAUUGCCAGCAGCACUUGCAAGGCCCCAAGCGGGCAUCUGAACGUCAAGAACUUUCCCAGAUACGGAUUCUCUUAACUCUAGAAACUUUUGGGGGCCGAGAAGCUCUAAGAGCAGAGCGGGACAAGGCGCGGGUGCAGCGCGCUGCCACAGGAACAGGCCCAUAUCCGAGCUCGCCCACCCGCCGCCACAGAGGUCGCG
ensembl:lncRNA